UCUAUUCCUGCUGAGCAUUAGUCAAUGCUUAACUCUUCAGCAGAAACUUAUAAUAAUAAAUCAAAGAUUAUACUCAACUCUUCCUACAAGAGAUUAGGAUGUAGAGGUCAUACAUUAUCGACUCGCAGGUCGUCAAAUUUGUCACAGGCAAUGCCACCGGUCUAUUGCCAUCCAUCAUGCUUUUAACUUUCUUAUAUGUAUCUGUGAGCUUUUAACGAUAAUUCAUCAAUAUUUUUGCAAACAGUAAACUUCCUAUUGGUGUAACGGAUGUGCAUAUGAUUUUUCUAUUGGAAGUUAUUGUAAACGUAAACGGAAGACCUUCCCAAUGUCAGGUUAUGUGCAUUGCCUUGUAGAAUACGUAAUUUAUGGGAAUUAACUGUUUAUGAUUUAUUGGUUAGAGUCGCUGGUGUGUACUUCAGGAAUAUGGAGAAGAUAAUUUUUAAACAAUUGUCGUUUCCUCAGUAAUUUUAUCUUAAGGAUCAGAAAUAAAACGAUAGAGAUUCCAAGUGAUAAGGAUCAAGCGAUUAGAAUAAUCAAAUAAAUCCCAAAGUAGCGUCCCAUUAAUAAUAAAAGGCUUAGGAAUUAAGGGAAUUGGCGUUAAAUUGAUGAAGUACACUAAGAGCAACAUUUCCUCCGUUGUAAAAUGGCUAGAUGCUUGUAAUGAGCCGCUGCACCAAUCUUUCGUGGAGAAAUUAUAAAUUUAAGUAGGUAGCUUUUAGCAAACCCGCUUCAUUUCUCACCUGGUGCCUUUUACGGCGGCACUUUUUGCGGAUGAAAAUUUGACGAAUUGCUCUCUUAUCGGAUAUCUUCCAAAUACAACAACGCCGGAAUGGUUCUCCGGUUAGCAAUAAAUUUUGAUUGCAUUACAAAUCAUCAUUUGCAUAGAUGAGGUGCGGGCACGUACAGAUCGGUUUGAUUUAUGGCCAGGAAUUUUUGCAGGAGUCGCAGUGCUUGAAUUUAAAUAAAUAAUUGCAUUUACAUAUUUAGUGUUUAGGCAUUACUUCCGCAAUUUGGUGAUUUUACUAAUAAACUUAGGUUUGGCUCGGAUGCCUUUAUGGCGUAUUUAUGGUUUUAAUCUAAAUGUAUAGUUGGUCUUGGCAUGAGGAAGCACUGACGGUCCACCCUGUAAAUUUUAUGAGAUUUGCAAAAUAUUUGCCAGAUUUGAGAUAAAGGUUUAAUAGGCGCCAUGAUUCUGCUUUUAUGUCUGGGAAACCAACAAGAUAUUAAAAUAAUAUUCUACCCUACAACUUUAAUUAAAACAGUAAAAAGUUUAUAUCAAGACCAAGUGCAUCUUCGAUCUGAUAAACACGUCGGGUAAACGCUGAAAUAUCAAUAAAAUGGACAAUUCUAUGUCUCUUUUAUUCUUGGAGGUAUUUAUAGAUGCGAGUGGAAAAAUAAAAUUGUUAAAGAACUACCAAAUGAAGCGGCUUUUUUCAAUUAGAGAAAUGUGUCAUUCCAUUUACGGUUUAUGGCUCAUUAAACAGAGAAAAUUAUUUAGUGCUGAAAAAGCAGGUUUUCAAAUAAUAAUAAUAAUAUGUAAUCACUCUUUGGUUUGAAAUUUUUCACAUCUG